UACGUAGGCAGCAAGCGUUGUUCGGAGUUACUGGGCGUGAAAGGGUGCGUAGGCGGUCCUAUAAGUAUGGUGUGAAAUCUCCCGGCUUAACUGGGAGGGUGCGCUAUAGACUGUGGGACUAGAGUGUGGGAGAGGAAAGUGGAAUUCCUGGUGUAGCGGUGAAAUGCGUAGAUAUCAGGAGGAACACCGGUGGUGUAAACGGCUUUCUGGACCAUAACUGACGCUGAGGCACGAAGGCGUGGGUAGCAAACAGG
rnacentral:rRNA from 1 species